rnacentral:rRNA from 1 species
GGGCCCGCACAAGCGGUGGAGCAUGUGGUUUAAUUCGAUGAUACGCGAGGAACCUUACCAGGGUUUAAAUGCAGAACGACAGGGGUGGAAACACCCCCUUCUUCGGACGGACUGCAAGGUGCUGCAUGGUUGUCGUCAGCUCGUGCUGUGAAGUGUCGGGUUAAGUCCCAUAACGAGCGCAACCCCCAUUUCUAGUUGCCAGCGGUUCGGCCGGGGACUCUAGAGAAACUGCCAGCGUAAGCUGUGAGGAAGGUGGGGAUGACGUCAAAUCAUCACGGCCCUUACAUCCUGGGCCACACACGUGCUACAAUGGUAGGGACAACAGGUUGCCAACCCGCGAGGGUGAGCCAAUCCCAAAACCGGUCUCAGUUCGGAUCGGGGUCUGCAACUCGGCCCCGUGAAGCUGGAAUC